UUUACUGUGUCUUAUUAGUUUCAAGAUAUCCUCUGUUGUCUAUUUUCUUUAGUACAUCGAAAUCAGAUGAGAUAUGGCAUGGUGCAACCGAGUCCCUAUCCAGUUUCUCCACAUCUUCCUGAGAGUAGUCAGAUGAGACAUGAAAUGGUGCAACCGAGUCCCUAUCCAGGUGCAAGAGAUUGUAGACAAUAUCUACAAACUCGGCGGUGUAGCUAUGGACCUAAGUGCCGAUUCAACCAUCCUCAUGCACCGGUCUGAAGGUUGGUCAUUGCAAUAAGAGACCGUCGUAACACGUAUUCUUAGGUUUUGGGAAGCUACAAAUGUGAAAAGGGUGGAGAGCUCAUGGGUGUAGAUCGGGUUUCCUCGAUGAAAAGAUGAGUAUCAGGCGUGUAAUAGUUGCAAUCCAACUUCACGGAUCACCUUCAUAAAAAAUUAGAACAGUUGCUAAUAUCAAGAGUCAUCACCCAGACUAGAGCUGAGAACAACUCAAACAACGUCUGGCCUCAAACACAGUGCAGCCUUUUGUUUGAGAUGAUGAACAAAAAGAAAAGAGAAGAGAAUUAACAGCGGACAACCCUUCCACAAAGAGUAAUUACAC